AGUUUUGGAGAGAAUGGUGGGAGUGGUUGCUGGCUGAUUAGCAAUAAGAUUAUAUAACCUUAAGUUACAUAGAAGGGUUUCUGUGGGUGAGACAGCAGAUCGUUAAUGAAAAGUAACUUGAAGUUUGACGGCAAUUUUUUGUAUUUGUACAACCUGCUUUAAAAACAUGUACAGUGUAAAAAUACAGAAAUGACAUUUAAUAUUUAUAAUAGUUAUCUCCACACACAUUGGUUUUUAAUUAUAUAAAAAGCAAUGAGCACUGUUUUUGUCUUUUCUCCUAGAGUGCAUUUGUGUUCUAGUCUUGGAAGUAAAAGACACACCAUUUUGUGGCAUAAAUGUAAGACUUCCUCUUGUAUGCAUCAAAGUACUACUUUCCUUUUUACUAUAGGUAGCAAUGUUGCUAAAUAAUACUUCAUGUCAACAAGAUGACAGAUGUUACAGGUCAUUUUUUUUAAUUGGUUAAAUAUAUUGUAUUUAGUUGGUUUUGAAUAUGUUUUUUCCUUAUGACUCUGAUUAUCACUAUAACCUCAAGUUGUAUGUAUCUAAAAUGACUGAUAAUGUAACCAACGCUGUCCAGGAAUUAGAAUCAUCUAGUCUAGUCAGAAGUUAAUAGAAAACCUUUCUGACACAUUCCUACUUUUGAGUGCAAAAACUGUUCAGAAAAAAAAAGAUUUCCUUAAGCACUUACCCUUUAGAGUUCAAGGAUGAACCAGGAAAAAAAAAAAAAGUGUAUAAAUAAAUUACCUAACUUGAGUGUAAAUUUCUCUGAUCCUGUAUGUAUAAUCCAUGACAAAUUAAAAGAUGGUGUCUGAUUCCAGAGCUACCAUAAAAAAAAAAUCCCCCACAAAUUCAGUACCUUAACACAAAAAUUUAUUCUCUCACAGUUCUUAAGAUUAGAAGUCUAAAGUUAAGCAGUUGGUAGCUUGGUUCCUUCUGGAGCUCUGAGAGGGAGAAUCCAUUCCAUGCCUCUCUCCUAGCUUGUGGCAAUUGCCAUCAAUCCUUGACUUUCCUUAGCCUGUAGCUGUAUCAGUCCAAGCUCUUUUCCCCCAUUGACCUCUGACUUUGCGUGUCUAUGUCUUUCUGUAUGCAGAUUUCCCUCUUCUAUAAAGACAAGUCAUUAGAUUUAGGGCCCAUCCUAAUUAAGUAUGACCUCAUCUUGACUUGAAUACAUCUAUAAAGACCCUAUUUCCGAAAAAGAUAUCCUCGUGUACCAGGAAUUAGUACUUGAAUGUAUCUUGGGGAGAAACAAACCCUCUAUAUAAAAUACAUAAUGAAGACUAGAAUAUGUGCCAAGGAAUCUUGCUUUAAUUAUUAAAUGAUACAGAAAGAAUAAUUAUGGUAAAUAUGAUCCAGAUACUUUUUAUAUGAAUAUUAAUUAACAAUACUUGUAGUUUUGCUACAGAUAAAAGUUAUAUCAUUAAUGUUACAUUUCCUUGAUAUGGCAGAGUCAAUAAACAGUAACUCUUUGAGAAGUACCAUGAUGAUCUAAAAAUGUUUAUCUCCUCAUGGUUGUGAGAAAUAUUCGCAUUUUCAUGUUGGUGUGUAUGUUGAGAGAUUCAGAUGAAAAUAAUCUCCACCUGUGUGGCAAAAGUAAUGCUAAGUACUCACCACCCAGUUCCUCUUCCCUGGUGAAUAAGAGGUCAAUUAUUCCCCAGGUUCCUUGCACUUAGCUGUGUAUCAAAAGUCUGGCUAAUAAACCAUGGGUAGAACCACUUGUAAAUUUGGCCUUUAAAAAUAUUCUGUGUGAGCCUCCUUCCCUUUUCCCUGCUAAGGGUGACUUUGGGAACACAUUUCCCAGUGGCAUAGUUAUCAGAUGGAGGAUGACUUGUUUCUUGCCAUACUAAGGUGUGAUGAGAGUAAUGAACAAACUUGGGACUGUGCUAAUGCUUUAUUCCUCAGCUUGUUUAAUGCAAGCUAUGGGUCAUCCAACUUGUAACGACAGCCAACUGUAUGAAAGCAGCUACCUAUAUUUAACACCCCUGGAAUACAAGGUCUGGCUGUGACAUAUUCAUUUUUAUAUUUCCAGCAUAUUUCAAGGUGCCUGGUUCAUCAUAAUAGUUUUUCCUUACACCAGGAAUCUAUCACCUUCAAAACUCAGCCACCAUAUUACUUGUAAUGAAAAUUCAUUAUUUGAUAUGUUAUAUUUUUUUAACUACUUAAAAGAAAGAGAAAAGUAGCAACAAUAACAGAGCAAAACACAAUGAGUGCCUCCUGUGUGUCAUGCUCUCUGUUAAAUUGGUAAAACAUUUACUUUAGAGCACAUAGGAAAAGAUAGAGAUAAUGCACUCUAGAUUUUGGAAACUAGCCAAUAAAGUUAGCAAAAUGUCCCAUAAUAUCUACCAGUUAGUUAUUAGUUAUUUCAUUCAUUGAAAAAGUUAUCAAUAUAUAGUAAAAGACCAUCUAGAAGAAAUCUCAUCAAUUAAUAAAAUAUUCUUUAAAGGAGGAAAAGACUCAAUCACCCUGGACCAAGAGCAGUAGCUGUUUUGUGACUAGCCAGACCUAGAAUGCAAUAUGAGAAUUUAGGGCCUAACAUCUUAGCAAAUACCAAAUCCAGUUGGGACAGCUGGGGGAGAAGGUUUGGUGGGCUGUGCAGACAGGGAAAUUAACAAAAAUGACUAGGGAAGUAAGAACAAUUAUAACUGACAGAUCUGAACAAAUAAGCUAAAAAUGAGUCAGACCUUCAGCGUGAUGACAACUUUGACAAGAAUUUCUGAAAGUGACAAUGAAUGGAAAGCUUAAUGCAUAUAAAUUAACACAAUUGUUAGAGCCCCCAAGGGGUUGAUGCAUUUAGCUAAGGAUUGUUUUAUGUACAUUUUAACUAUCAAGUGCUUCAAUAAAUUACUGAUAAAAAUAAAA